UACAUGGGGUGCAAACGUUGCUCGGAAUUAUUGGGCGUAAAGCGCGCGUAGGCGGUUACUCAAGUCGGAUGUGAAAGCCCUCGGCUUAACUGAGGAAGUGCACCCGAAACUGAGUAGCUAGAGUACUAAAGAGGGUCGCGGAAUUCCCGGUGUAGAGGUGAAAUUCGUAGAUAUUAGGAAGAACACCAGUGGCGAAGGCGGCCACCUGGCUCGGUACUGACGCUCAGGUUCGAAAGCGUGGGGAGCAAACAGG
rnacentral:rRNA from 1 species